rnacentral:piRNA from 1 species
UGUUAAGUUUUUGUCCUGACGUCCUGGGU